AAUAAAUGUAGUUUUACACUAUUUACAUUCAAUGUUUGACCGUUCGUCUUAUUUGAACUUUUUUAUGAUUAGUAUUUUUAUUACUAUUAGAUGAUAAAACAUGAAUAGUGCUUUACGUGCGACUAAAUAUUUUCAAAUUUUUUACAAAAUUUUCAAGUAAGAUGAACGGUCAAACAUUGGGCACGGAUAUCAACGGCUGCACUUAUU
rfam:Oryza glumipatula chromosome 10, whole genome shotgun sequence.